rnacentral:rRNA from 1 species
UGGGGAAUAUUGGACAAUGGGCGCAAGCCUGAUCCAGCCAUGCCGCGUGAGUGAUGAAGGCCCUAGGGUUGUAAAGCUCUUUCACCGGUGAAGAUAAUGACGGUAACCGGAGAAGAAGCCCCGGCUAACUUCGUGCCAGCAGCCGCGGUAAUACGAAGGGGGCUAGCGUUGUUCGGAUUUACUGGGCGUAAAGCGCACGUAGGCGGACUUUUAAGUCAGGGGUGAAAUCCCGGGGCUCAACCCCGGAACUGCCUUUGAUACUGGAAGUCUUGAGUAUGGUAGAGGUGAGUGGAAUUCCGAGUNUAGAGGUGAAAUUCGUAGAUAUUUCGGAGGAACACCAGUGGCGAAGGCGGCUCACUGGACCAUUACUGACGCUGAGGUGCGAAAAGCGUGGGGAGCAAACAGGAUUAGAUACCCUGGUAGUCCACGCCGUAAACGUGAAUGUUAGCCGUGGGGAGUUACUCUUCGGUGGCGCAGCUAACGCAUUAAACAUUCCGCCUGGGGAGUACGGUCGCAAGNGUUAAAACUCAAAUGAAUUGACGGGGUCAUAGCUGUUUCCU